rnacentral:rRNA from 1 species
UACGUAGGGUGCAAGCGUUAAUCGGAAUUACUGGGCGUAAAGCGUGCGCAGGCGGUUAUGUAAGACAGAUGUGAAAUCCCCGGGCUCAACCUGGGAACUGCAUUUGUGACUGCAUAGCUAGAGUACGGUAGAGGGGGAUGGAAUUCCGCGUGUAGCAGUGAAAUGCGUAGAUAUGCGGAGGAACACCGAUGGCGAAGGCAAUCCCCUGGACCUGUACUGACGCUCAUGUACGAAAGCGUGGGGAGCAAACAGG